AUGUGUCACAGAGGCAUUCCAAAAAAAAUGAUAGAAGGAGAAACUGGAAGUGCACUCAGUAAACAAGAGAUGAAAAUCCAUAAUGAAAGAAAGCAGAAAAGCGGAGGUAAAAUGGUGUUCAAGCUGAAUUCAUCUCCCCUUGUAGAGAGGUGUCAAGAUUUUUUUCUGUUGUUAUACUAAACCGGGAUGAUAUGUAAACUGGUUGCCUGAUCUGCCAGAGCUGAAGUAUUUUAAACUACCUACAACACACACAGCAGGUACUGCAGUCACAGUCUGAAUGUUGCUUUUUUUUUUUUUUUCCUGUUUUUCUUGGUGCUAAGCUUAUUACUAUCUUGAGAACUAGGACCAUGUGAACUUAAUGAAAUUCAACAAAACAAAGUGCAAGAUGUGUACAGACUGAGAGAACUCACUGAGCGCAGCCCUGCUGAGAAGGACUUGAAGGUCCUGACUGAUAAGAAACUUAACACGAGUCUCUUGCAGGGGGAAGGCUGGUUGUUCUGCUGCAAGAGUGCCCUUGCAGCCCGGAAGGCUGGAUUGCAUCAAAACAUGGUGGCCAGCAGGGAUAGAGAGGGGAUUGUCCCUCUCUCCUCUGCCCUUGUGAGACCCCACCUUUAUUACUGCAUCCAAGCCUGGGUCCCCAGCAUAAGAAUCAGUGUCACAGAAUUGUAGGGGUUGGACCUCUAGAGAUCAUUGAAUGCAUUCCCCAAGAAAGAUGUGGCACUGUUGGAGGGGAUCCAGAGGAAGGCCACAAAGGUGAUUGAAGAGCUACAGCACCUCUCCUUUGAAGGAAGACUGCAGGAGCUGGCCUUGUUCAAACUGGAGGAGGUUUUGGGGAGACUUCACUGCAGCCUUCCAGUAGUUAAAGGAAGCUUAUAAGCAGAAGAGAAACAGACCUUUUACAUCGAGAUUUAGAUUAGAUAUUAGGAGGAAAUUCUCUACUCGCAGGUUGGUGAGACACUGGCACAAGCUGCCCAGAGAAGCUGUGGAUGGAUCCAUAGAGGCGUUUAAAGCCAAGGUUGGAUGUGGCCCUGGACCCUGAUCUAAUGGCAGUCCCUCUCAUGGCAGGGGAUUGGAACUGAAUCUUCCAACACAAGCCAUUCUAUGAUUGUUACUAUUUUAGGAAUUUGGAUUCCCAAACAGAAAAUAUAAUUUAUAUCAGAGAGUAUUCUCUUGCAUCAAA
rnacentral:lncRNA from 1 species